rnacentral:rRNA from 1 species
AGUGAACGCUGGCGGUAGGCCUAACACAUGCAAGUCGAACGGCAGCACAGUAAGAGCUUGCUCUUACGGGUGGCGAGUGGCGGACGGGUGAGGAAUACAUCGGAAUCUACUUUUUCGGGGGGGAUAACGUAGGGAAACUUACGCUAAUACCGCAUACGACCUACGGGUGAAAGCAGGGGAGCUUCGGACCUUGCGCGACUGAAUGAGCCGAUGUCGGAUUAGCUAGUUGGCGGGGUAAAGGCCCACCAAGGCGACGAUCCGUAGCUGGUCUGAGAGGAUGAUCAGCCACACUGGAACUGAGACACGGUCCAGACUCCUACGGGAGGCAGCAGUGGGGAAUCUUGGACAAUGGGCGCAAGCCUGAUCCAGCCAUACCGCGUGGGUGAAGAAGGCCUUCGGGUUGUAAAGCCCUUUUGUUGGGAAAGAAAAGCAGCAGGUUAAUACCCCGCUGUUCUGACGGUACCCAAAGAAUAAGCACCGGCUAACUUCGUG